rnacentral:rRNA from 1 species
CAGUCGCCGCGGGAAUACGAAGGGUGCAAGCGUUAAUCGGAAUUACUGGGCGUAAAGCGUGCGUAGGCGGUUUGUUAAGUCUGCUGUGAAAUCCCCGGGCUCAACCUGGGAAUGGCAGUGGAUACUGGCAAGCUAGAGUGUGUCAGAGGAUGGUGGAAUUCCCGGUGUAGCGGUGAAAUGCGUAGAGAUCGGGAGGGACAUCAGUGGCGAAGGCGGCCAUCUGGGGCAACACUGACGCUGAGGCACGAAAGCGUGGGGAGCAAACAGGAUUAGAUACCCCCGUAGUCCCUGUCUCUUAUAC